GCUUGCAUGGUGUAGUGGAAGCAUAAUUGCCUCACACGCAAGGGGUCCCUGGUUCGAACCCAGGUGCAAGCA